rnacentral:rRNA from 1 species
AUUGAACGCUGGCGGCAGGCCUAACACAUGCAAGUCGAACGGCUGAACAGAGCUUGCUCCUGGAUUCAGCGGCGGACGGGUGAAUAGUGCCUAGGAAUCUGCCUGUUAGUGGUGGCUAACGUCCGGAAACGGGCACUCAUACCCCAUACGUCCUUAGGACCUACGUGGGAGAUCUUCGGACCUCCCGCUCUCACGUGAGCCUAGGUCGGAUUAGCUAGUUGGUGGGGUAAAGGCCUACCAAGGCGACGAUCCGUAACUGGUCUGAGAGGAUGAUCAGUCACACUGGAACUGAGACACGGUCCAGACUCCUACGGGAGGCAGCAGUGGGGAAUAUUGGACAAUGGGCGAAAGCCUGAUCCAGCCAUGCCGCGUGUGUGAAGAAGGUCUUCGGAUUGUAAAGCACUUUAAGUUGGGAGGAAGAGCAGUAAGUUAAUACCUCGCUGUUUUGACGGUACCAACAGAAUAAGCACCGGCUAACUUCGUG